rnacentral:rRNA from 1 species
GGGUUGUGAGGUUAAGCGACUAAGCGUACACGGUGGAUGCCCUGGCAGUCAGAGGCGAUGAAGGACGUGCUAAUCUGCGAAAAGCGCCGGCGAGGUGAUAUGAACCUUUGACCCGGCGAUGUCCGAAUGGGGAAACCCAGUGUGUUCCGACACACUAUCGUUAACUGAAUACAUAGGUUAACGAGGCGAACCGGGGGAACUGAAACAUCUAAGUACCCCGAGGAAAAGAAAUCAACCGAGAUUCCCCCAGUAGCGGCGAGCGAACGGGGAGCAGCCCAGAGUCUGAAUCAGCUUGUGUGUUAGUGGAAGCGUCUGGAAAGUCGCACGGUACAGGGUGACAGUCCCGUACACGAAAAUGCACAGGUUGUGAACUCGAAGAGUAGGGCGGGACACGUGGUAUCCUGUCUGAAUAUGGGGGGACCAUCCUCCAAGGCUAAAUACUCCUGACUGACCGAUAGUGAACCAGUACCGUGAGGGAAAGGCGAAAAGAACCCCGGCGAGGGGAGUGAAAAAGAACCUGAAACCGUGUACGUACAAGCAGUGGGAGCACCUUCGUGGUGUGACUGCGUACCUUUUGUAUAAUGGGUCAGCGACUUAUAUUCUGUAGCAAGGUUAACCGUAUAGGGGAGCCGAAGGGAAACCGAGUCUUAACUGGGCGUUAAGUUGCAGGGUAUAGACCCGAAACCCGGUGAUCUAGCCAUGGGCAGGUUGAAGGUUGGGUAACACUAACUGGAGGACCGAACCGACUAAUGUUGAAAAAUUAGCGGAUGACUUGUGGCUGGGGGUGAAAGGCCAAUCAAACCGGGAGAUAGCUGGUUCUCCCCGAAAGCUAUUUAGGUAGCGCCUCGUGAACUCAUCUUCGGGGGUAGAGCACUGUUUCGGCUAGGGGGCCAUCCCGGCUUACCAACCCGAUGCAAACUACGAAUACCGAAGAAUGUUAUCACGGGAGACACACGGCGGGUGCUAACGUCCGUCGUGAAGAGGGAAACAACCCAGACCGCCAGCUAAGGUCCCAAAGUCAUGGUUAAGUGGGAAACGAUGUGGGAAGGCACAGACAGCCAGGAUGUUGGCUUAGAAGCAGCCAUCAUUUAAAGAAAGCGUAAUAGCUCACUGGUCGAGUCGGCCUGCGCGGAAGAUGUAACGGGGCUAAACCAUGCACCGAAGCUGCGGCAGCGACACUAUGUGUUGUUGGGUAGGGGAGCGUUCUGUAAGCCGUUGAAGGUGGCCUGUGAGGGUUGCUGGAGGUAUCAGAAGUGCGAAUGCUGACAUAAGUAACGAUAAAGCGGGUGAAAAGCCCGCUCGCCGGAAGACCAAGGGUUCCUGUCCAACGUUAAUCGGGGCAGGGUGAGUCGACCCCUAAGGCGAGGCCGAAAGGCGUAGUCGAUGGGAAACAGGUUAAUAUUCCUGUACUUGGUGUUACUGCGAAGGGGGGACGGAGAAGGCUAUGUUAGCCGGGCGACGGUUGUCCCGGUUUAAGCAUGUAGGCGGAACGAUUAGGUAAAUCCGGUCGUUUAUUAACGCUGAGGUGUGAUGACGAGGCACUACGGUGCUGAAGUAACAAAUGCCCUGCUUCCAGGAAAAGCCUCUAAGCAUCAGGUAACAUCAAAUCGUACCCCAAACCGACACAGGUGGUCAGGUAGAGAAUACCAAGGCGCUUGAGAGAACUCGGGUGAAGGAACUAGGCAAAAUGGUGCCGUAACUUCGGGAGAAGGCACGCUGAUAUGUAGGUGAAGCCCCUGCGGGUGGAGCUGAAAUCAGUCGAAGAUACCAGCUGGCUGCAACUGUUUAUUAAAAACACAGCACUGUGCAAACACGAAAGUGGACGUAUACGGUGUGACGCCUGCCCGGUGCCGGAAGGUUAAUUGAUGGGGUUAGCGGCAACGCGAAGCUCUUGAUCGAAGCCCCGGUAAACGGCGGCCGUAACUAUAACGGUCCUAAGGUAGCGAAAUUCCUUGUCGGGUAAGUUCCGACCUGCACGAAUGGCGUAAUGAUGGCCAGGCUGUCUCCACCCGAGACUCAGUGAAAUUGAACUCGCUGUGAAGAUGCAGUGUACCCGCGGCAAGACGGAAAGACCCCGUGAACCUUUACUAUAGCUUGACACUGAACACUGGUCCUUGAUGUGUAGGAUAGGUGGGAGGCUUUGAAGUGUGGACGCCAGUCUGCAUGGAGCCGUCCUUGAAAUACCACCCUUUAAUGGCUGGUGUUCUAACGUAGACCCGUGAUCCGGGUUGCGGACAGUGUCUGGUGGGUAGUUUGACUGGGGCGGUCUCCUCCCAAAGAGUAACGGAGGAGCACGAAGGUUAGCUAAUCCUGGUCGGACAUCAGGAGGUUAGUGCAAUGGCAUAAGCUAGCUUGACUGCGAGAGUGACGGCUCGAGCAGGUGCGAAAGCAGGUCAUAGUGAUCCGGUGGUUCUGAAUGGAAGGGCCAUCGCUCAACGGAUAAAAGGUACUCCGGGGAUAACAGGCUGAUACCGCCCAAGAGUUCAUAUCGACGGCGGUGUUUGGCACCUCGAUGUCGGCUCAUCACAUCCUGGGGCUGAAGUAGGUCCCAAGGGUAUGGCUGUUCGCCAUUUAAAGUGGUACGCGAGCUGGGUUUAGAACGUCGUGAGACAGUUCGGUCCCUAUCUGCCGUGGGCGCUGGAGAAUUGAGGGGGGCUGCUCCUAGUACGAGAGGACCGGAGUGGACGCAUCACUGGUGUUCGGGUUGUCAUGCCAAUGGCACUGCCCGGUAGCUAAAUGCGGAAAAGAUAAGUGCUGAAAGCAUCUAAGCACGAAACUUGCCCCGAGAUGAGUUCUCCCUGAGACUUUAAGUCUCCUGAAGGAACGUUGAAGACGACGACGUUGAUAGGUCGGGUGUGUAAGCGCAGCGAUGCGUUGAGCUAACCGAUACUAAUGAACCGUGAGGCUUAACCUUACAACGCCGAAG